GGCAAGGUGCCAGAGUGGUUAAUGGGUCAGACUAGAAAUCUGAUGGGUUCGCCCGCGUAGGUUCAAAUCCUGCCCUUGUCG
rnacentral:tRNA from 1 species